rnacentral:rRNA from 1 species
GCAGGCUUAACACAUGCAAGUCGAACGGUAGCAGGAGAAAGCUUGCUUUCUUGCUGACGAGUGGCGGACGGGUGAGUAAUGCUUGGGAAUCUGGCUUAUGGAGGGGGAUAACGACGGGAAACUGUCGCUAAUACCGCGUAUUAUCGGAAGAUGAAAGUGCGGGACUGAGAGGCCGCAUGCCAUAGGAUGAGCCCAAGUGGGAUUAGGUAGUUGGUGGGGUAAAUGCCUACCAAGCCUGCGAUCUCUAGCUGGUCUGAGAGGAUGACCAGCCACACUGGAACUGAGACACGGUCCAGACUCCUACGGGAGGCAGCAGUGGGGAAUAUUGCGCAAUGGGGGGAACCCUGACGCAGCCAUGCCGCGUGAAUGAAGAAGGCCUUCGGGUUGUAAAGUUCUUUCGGUAUUGAGGAAGGUUGAUGUGUUAAUAGCACAUCAAAUUGACGUUAAAUACAGAAGAAGCACCGGCUAACUCCGUGCCAGCAGCCGCGGUAAUACGGAGGGUGCGAGCGUUAAUCGGAAUAACUGGGCGUAAAGGGCACGCAGGCGGUUAUUUAAGUGAGGUGUGAAAGCCCCGGGCUUAACCUGGGAAUUGCAUUUCAGACUGGGUAACUAGAGUACUUUAGGGAGGGGUAGAAUUCCACGUGUAGCGGUGAAAUGCGUAGAGAUGUGGAGGAAUACCGAAGGCGAAGGCAGCCCCUUGGGAAUGUACUGACGCUCAUGUGCGAAAGCGUGGGGAGCAAACAGGAUUAGAUACCCU